rnacentral:rRNA from 1 species
GUUUGUUUGGAGUUAUAAAGAAUUUAACCUGCCCCCUGACUAACUAUUAUUAAAGGGCCGCAGUAUUAUAACUGUGCAAAGGUAGCAUAAUCAUUAGGUUUUUAAUUGAAAUCUCGUAUGAAUGGUUGGACAAAAGAAAGACUGUCUUUAUAUUAAGUUUUGAAUUUAACUUUUAAGUGAAAAGGCUUAAAUAUUCUAAAGGGACGAUAAGACCCUAUAAAACUUUACAUUGUCAUUAAUUUUGAUUGAAUUUAUGAAAUAAAAAUUUUAUUUGAUUAUUUGUUAUGUUGGGGAGACAUAAGUAAAAUAUUUUUUUAACUGCUUGAUAGUUAUACAAUUAUUAGUGAAUAAGUAGUAGAUCCUUUUUAAGAUUAGUAGAUUAAGUUACUUUAGGGAUAACAGUGUAAUUUCUUUUGAGAGUUCUUAUCGAAAAAGAAGGUUGCAACCUCGAUGUUGAAUUAAAAUAUCUAUAUAAUGGAGAGGUUAUAUAAGAAGGUCUGUUCGACCUUGAAAAUUUUACAUGAUUUGAGUUCAAACCGGUGUGAG